AUCUGCAUUUUAUAACAGUCUUCCAUAUAUUUCUUAUGUGCUCUGAGAACCAGUGAGCCACUGAACUAGAUGAAAGAACUGCAUGGAAAAAUAAUAGGUUUAUACAGACUGCUGUUUCGUAAAUGUUCAGCAGAGAACUUCCUCCAGCUAGAAGCAGAAGAGAAGAGGCAGAGGGGCAAACAGAAGGAUUCAAAAUAUAAGAAAGACUGAAUGCUCUGUUGGUUUGACAAUGGAGGAGCCACUUCAGAAGAAAUGCAGGUGUCAUUAAGGAGCAGAGAGAUUACCAGCUGACGUGCUUUGAGCUUCAGUUUAUAGUCCCGGGUUACUCAGAAAAUGCAAGAAAUUUAAGUCAUUUUCUCCAAAUAGACCAAGGCAAGAAGAUAAUAUACAUUAUGAUGAUGGCAAAGAGGAGUUUGAAACUUUAAGAAAAAUUGAAACCUUCCCACUCUAAUCCAUUUUACAAGCUGUUGCCAAAAUAUUUUUCUCAAAAUGGUUCCUAUGUUUACAAAUCAUAACUCAGAUUAUUCUUACCCAUUGGAUGUAAUUCUACUUCCACAUUUCAUACUCUCUGAUAUAACAAUUUUUAUUGUCCUUUCCAAGCUCAAUGAUUUACCAUAUUUAUAAAGAAGGUCCUUAUUUAUUUAUUUAUUUAUUUAUUUUCUUUUUUGAGACAGAGUCUCACCCCGUCGCCCAGGCUGGGGUGCAAUGGCGCGUUCUCCGCUCACUGCAACCUCCACCUCCCAGGUUCAAACAAUUCUCCUGCCUCCGCCACAGGCGCAGGCCACCACGCCUGGCUAUUUUUUUUUUUUUUUUUUUUUAUGUUUAGUAGAAACGGGGUUUCACCAUGUUGCCCAGGCUGGUCUCGACCUCCUGACCUCGUAAUCCACCCACCUCAGCCUCCCAAAGUGCUGGGAUUACAGGCGUGAGCCACUGCGCCUGGCCCUUAUCUGUACAUUUUAACUUUAGCUUUCCACUCACGUGUUUUAAAAUUUUGUGUAAAGCCUUUGUUUUUACUCCUUCCAAAAUGCACUCAUAUCUUAAAGGAAAAUUUUUAGGCGUAACUCGUUCCGGCUGCCCAGAUAUGUAUUUGACUCUGACUCAGAUAUUUUCUUGCUCAAUUUUUUAAUAUUAGUGUUUACUCCAUAAUAUUUUUUCUACUUGCCAAACAUUUGUUGCAUAUGUGUGUAGGUAUAUAUGCAUGUUAUCAUUUUAACUUUACUCAUUUAUGAUGCACCAAAUGAAAUUAAAGAAACACUCAAAUAAGGUAAGGGGAAAGAGAGGGAGAGAGCAGAAAAUUAAAUAUAUUUUAUAUAUUGCAUUAAUUCAAAAUUGUAAGCAUAUUGUGGUGCUUUUACCCCAGGGUAGAUAAUAAUUACCUUGAGUAAAAGGACAAAAUAAUUUUCCCAAAUUUAUAAUCCUUCUAAAGUUACCUAGCAAAAUAACAUUCGCUGUAGUUUUAAAAUAAAAACAAAUCUUCUGAUAUGCUGGUAAAUGACAACCAGAUAGGUGUGCAGUGAUUAACAAAAAAGUUUUAAUGGUUUGAAAGAAAUUUGGGACUAAUAUACUCACUGAUCCGUGAUAAGUUAUUUCUACUGCCUAUAUGUCUGUUUCCCAUUUGUAAAAUUGACUUAUAAUAUUUAUCUCAGUCUUACUGUGAGAAGUUAAAAUGUGAUACAUGUGAAGUUCUUGGUGUAUUUUUGCUAUCGAUAAGAAAACCUCUACAAAUUAGCUACUAUUAUUGUUAUUGUUCUUAGAGGAAGAGGGCAUCCAUUAAAAUCCUCUUAAAAAGUAAAAUAUCAGCAUGGUGAUUUUAAGAAACAAAAUAAGGCUAAGAAGGAAAGCUGUACAACCUGAGUAAAAUUCGUUGUGAUUAAAAUUUGUUGUGUAUUCAUCUCUUACUCAGUGAACUGGAAAUCAUUUGAAGAAAUGAUAAAAUGUUUUUUAAAAAGAAGGAAAAUCAGUUACUAGGGCAUAUAGCAAUACUAAAUAUUAAAGGGUAACUAUAACAAUUCACACUGCAUUAAAAUUUACCAUAAAAAUGAUGUGUUCUCAUAUGAUUCCAGGGCACUAAAAUAUAAGGCCAUCAAAGUAUACUUAGCGUCAUGAAUCAAAUAAUUUUAACCAUUAUAGUAUUAUAUGUAGAAUAAUGUUUUCACUUUCAGCAUAAACUCAACAAUUGUUCUAGUCUAACACACACACACAAAAAACAAUUUAGGUUUCAUUCUCACACCAGAAAAAUGAAAGCAUGUGUUCUUUGUUGCAAAAAUUUCAAAGUCUAUUCUUUGAAAUAUUUUUGAUUAUUAAAGGCUUACAGUAGAGGCUUUUUUUUAUACAUACCCAUAUACAUAGAUAGCCAUGAUGACCAAACAUUAGAAGUGUAUGCAACUAAUUUCUGCAGUACAGAAAACAAUCAGGUAGAGACGGUACUAGGUCCUCUCCCCUGGAAGUUUCAGUCUCGUUUCUUUUUCUCCUACAAUCUGACUUGAUGACUUCAUAGAGUGAAACUGUUAGAAACUAAACGAUUAAAGAAGAUGAAAACAUUCAUUUUAGUGUCAAUUGCAUAUUGUACAAUUCCUUAUUAAUGUAAAAUAUAUUAUUAACCAUUUGUUGAAUGAAACAAUGAACACUUAAUGUUCACACUUAACAUACUUCAUAAUAUAAUGGCCCGAGAAUCCAACUAUGUAAGAUCAAAUCUUGGUUGCACCACUUAAUAUGUUACCAUGAGCAAGUUAUUUUACCUGUGACUCAGUUUCUUCAUCAGCAAAAUGGAGAAAAUUAUGUUUAUAUGUUCCUCAGGAUUACAUGCUAGAGUAUGAAUAGCAUGUUUAAAUAUUGCCUCUUGUGUAGUGAGCUCACAAUACAUGUUAGCUCCUCCUACCCCAAAUUUCAAAGCAUAAAAUUUGGAAACUAUCAAAAUACAUCAAAAAAUAAACGAAAAACUGUAUGAAUAAAUCGUUGUAGAAAUUUGUAAAACAAUUAAAUUGCCAUAGAGAAUAUUUACUUAAAAUUAUGUUAAAAUAUUUCAAACAAUUGACUAUUACAUUCACAGAAUAAAAUACAAAUGAAUAUUCAUAAACAUUAGAAUUUAGUCAAGAGGGUCUAUUAUCCAUUAUCCCCUUAAAUUGUUGCAGAGGAAUUAGCCAACAAAUUUCAAUAUGAAAACAUGGUAGAUGGAAAUGUUCAAAAUUAGAUAAAACAUCCGUUAUUGUUUGAAGGUAUAUUCAUUUGUUUUUGAACUGCUAGAAAGGAAUACCUGAAACUGGGUAAUUUAUAAAGAAAAUAAGUUUAAUUGGCUCACGGUUCUGCAGGCCGAAUAGGAAGCAUGGUGCUUGCAUGUGCUCCUGAUGGGGCUUCAAGAAGAUAACAAUCAUGGAGGAAGGCAAAGGGGGACCAGCAGGAUCACACAGCGACGGCAGAAGCAAGAGAGAGGGAGGAGGCGCUGCACUCUUACACAUCCAGAUAUUGCGUGAACUCAGAAUGCAAACUCACUCUAGGAGGCCAUCAAGACAUUCAUGAGGGAUUUGACACCAUCAGCCAAACAACUAUCGCUAGGCCUCACCAUCAACACUAGAGAUGACAUUUCAACGUGAGAUUUGGAGGGGAUGAAUAUCCGAACCCUAUCGGCAGGUGAUAUAAAAUUAAAUGAAAAGAUUCAUACAGAAGAAAAUUCUGGUACAUUUGCUCUCAUUAGAAAGUAACAACUAUUAGAUUAAAAAUAAUUUAAAAUACUUUUGUUCUUUUUCUGAAAAUGGUAUCGGAAUAUAUAACAAAUUGAUUUCAUAUGUGCUACUUAUCUUAAUUUUAAUUAUUUUUAAUUUCUUAUGCUAAUGAUUUUAUUGUUAUGUGACCCAUUAAAUAUGUGAAAAUUUUAUUUUAUUGUUAAUAUGUGAAUGUAUUUUAUGAAUUAAUUAAUUAUUAUUUUAUUAUUUUAUUGUUAAUAUGUGAACCAUUAAACAUUUAUCACAUAUUUAAUGGUUCACAUAUUAACAAUAAAAUAAUUAGCAUAAAAGUCAUGAGAACUAUCCAGGAAUUCUUAGAAAAGAAGCUGCAAACUUUACUUGCCUUCCUUAGACAAAAGUAAUUUGAACAUGUGGAUAGAUUAUAUUACUAAAUAGAAAGACUUUGUGUGACAAUAAUUUUUAAUAAUUUUAAUAAUAAUUUUUAAUAGUAAGAAUAGCUAACAUUUAUUGAGUUUGUGUUCUAUGGUAGAAACUUAACUUCAUGCCUUACAUCAAUUAAUGCAUAUAUUACUGUCAGUAAGUCUAUGAGGCAAGUGUUAAUGAAAUCCCUAAUUUAAGAAAAUCGUGACACAGAACAAGCAGAGUUAACUUGUUCCUUUCACAUAUCUAAAGAAAGGUGGUUAAAAGAUUCAAGCACAUCCAGAUGAAUAUAGACACUGCACAGUUAUUUUCUAAAUUUAUCUAAAAUGUCACUAAAUUUAAAAUAGGAAGUUUUAUAAAACUAAAUGAACUAAUUUUAAAGUUCACAUGGAGUAACUGACAUUCCAUAAGAAGUUUAAUAUUUCUGAAUAAAAGGGAUAGAUUGCUCCUUUUCCAUAUAGAUUCGAAUGAAGAAAUAAAAAAUUGUAUAUUGAAUGGUAGGAAUCAUGCCCCAGAAAAGGAAGAAUAGUCAAUAAAAAGAAUUAAAAAUAUGUCAAUAGAAUUAUUUGGAAAAAAUGUCUUAUCUCAUAUUUUGAACUAACAAUAUACGGUAAUAAAAAUGUAAAUGAUAGAGUAGCCAAAUUUAAAAAAUUGAAGAAAUUAUACAUAAAUUUAUUUUUAAAAAGAAGGCAGUUCCAGGGACAUGAAAUGCAGAAAUAAUUUAAAAAAUCAUAAACACACACCACCAGCCAAUUUCUAAAAAAUAGAGCAACUAUUAAUAAAUAUAAAACUGUAAAAUUCAAACCAUCAAUCUGUCUGUAACACCUGUAAAACUCUCUUAUUAUUCAAAUAUAUAUUACCAACAAAUACCUGUUACUAACACAUAUCAACAUAAUCAAUAUUUUACAGGCAAAAAUUUAGUGAAAAGUGUUUAAAAUUAUAGUAAUAAUACAUAUUAAGUACAUACAGAUAUUUUUUAUUAAUCAUAAAAUAUAUAGUCUCACAAAUAAAAAUACAAAAUUUAAAAAAUAAGGAAUUUUUAACCAAGUAAUGUAGAAGCGAUAAAAAGAACAUUCCCUAUUUGUGGUAGAGAGUAAAGCAUUCUCACAUACGAAAAUGGCAUAUGUUCCUUGAACUUUAAUUGAUGAAAUAUAUCAAUAACCAUAACAUGACACAUAAUGCUAAUAUUAAAAAUUAUUUUUCUAUUCUUUUUUCUGAAGAAUAUAAUCAAAUAUGAUUUUUGAAUAUGUUUAUAAUUAUAGAUUCUAAUAUUCAUUAAAAUAUAAAAAAAUUUCUAGCUUUUAAAAUAUUGGCAGGGCUCUGUCUUUUGCUUUUGAGAUACAGAGGAAGAGGAGAAAAAAACAAUUAAAACAAGCAAACAAAAACUGCCAUGAGAAUGUUUAAGUAUACAGCCCAGAGUCCUAUAAUUCAUGUGAAGCUUUAUCAUAAAAUUUUACCUUAUUAUUAUUAGAGGAAGUGUUGCAGCUUUUUCACUCCUGUUGUUCGAUGGGUGAGAGAGAGUGUUACAGUUCUUUUACUCCCAUGGCUGGCAAGCUCCGGGUUCUUGUCCCACAACCAAAAAGAAUAAGGCACAUGAACAUGGAAGAGUAAGGCAGAAUCAAAUUUAUUAAGCAACAGAAAAGCUCUCAGCAAGGAGACGGGACAUGAAAGAAGGUUGGGAGCUAUGGGGCUAAGUUCAGGAAUUUUUAUGGACUGGGACAGGGUAGGAGGACACUGACUGGUCUGCCGACUGUCUUGGGUUCACAGAGUAGGUAUUUCCAUUCAAGAACACAGGCUCUUUCUUAUCUGGGGCCUGCAGCGUGAUUUUCAGGCUGUCCUUAGUUCAAAGAAGUUAUAAUGAGGACUCACCCUAACUGCCUGCCUGACCGACCAAUUUCUUCCUUCCUCCUCUCUCACAAGUACUUCCCCAAAAGUUAUUUCCCAAACUUGAGAGCAGCAAGAUUCCAGAAGCUUACUACAGGUAGGCAAAAGUUGAAAAUGUUCCAGAAUACAGUCAGUAAGAAAAGAUUCUGUUUUUGUUUGUUUGUUGUUGUUGUUUUAAGUAGAUUAAUGAUACAGCUUGCAGAUAUAUGCAGACACCAGUAAAUCAUUAUAUGA
rnacentral:lncRNA from 1 species